UGUGUGCCGUGGUAUCUGGUAUGCUUCGCUUCAUCUACAGUAGGCUGGCGGAGUGGUUGGCGGUGGUUGUAGGGCGUAUUCUGUCUUUUUUCUUGACCAAUUAUUCUUCGUCUGUUGAUUUCUGGUUAGCUUUGUUUGCUGGUUCCACUGUUGUGGGCAGUGCCGGUGCUGGAGGCGGCGGAGCCUGCUGGAGCGACGGAGUUGCGGUGGUUCGUCGGCGGUUGCUGCCUCCGCUUGUUUUUGCUGGAUCUAGGUCCUGGUUUUCACGCAUCAUCCGGCGGCUGCAUGCCCCUGCUGUCUUUGAGGUGAUCAAGAUAAGAGGCCCUGAUCAUUUCUGAUAUUUGAGGGGCAACUUACGCUGUAACAAAUGGGGCUUUGUCUCCAGCAGCUCAAGUCACUUUAAAGAGGCCAAGAAGUAGCAAAGCAUCAAGGAGUGAGGACAGCGAGGAGGAGAGGAGCAGACAAAGAAACCAAAGAUCACAUGAAGAACAUGAAUGGAAAACUUUCAGCCUUCCAGGUGCUGCAUCUGUGGGAAACAGAGCCACAAUUACAGAUCAUGAAAAGGACUUCCAGGACUGAUCUCCUGGCAAAAUGAUACUUUCAAGUGCAAUAUGAUAUCCAUCGCACUAUUUUGGUUUUAAUAAAUGUGUGCAAUAUUAGCAGUCAAGCAAACAACAAGAAUCAGCUGGUUCUCCAAUAUGUUGAUCCUUAUAGUGGAUAAGGCAUUUCAGAUGUUGCUAGUGCAUCUUCUAUAGCACCAAGCAAUGCGGUUCUGCCAAGGGGGAUAUAGUCAUAUAGAGGCAAGCUUUACUACCUACGCAUUUGAGUAUGUGAAAGCGAUGAUCUCCUUUUGGGUUUUGGGGUGAUUUUUUCGUUUACAGUGUUCAAGUUCUGUUUCAGACACUGUUAGGCUUUCUUAGCUGUAGUUCUGGGCAGGAUUUGUUCAGUGGUCCUCUCAAAUCUAUGGGAACUCUAUUAUUUAUGAAA